CCUGUAAGCGGGGAAUAACCCGUUGAAAGACGGACUAAUACCGCAUAAUACUAAAGUUACUGCAUGGUAAUUUAUUUAAACAUUUAUGGCUUACAGAUGGGCAUGCGCAUGAUUAGCUAGUUGGAGAGGUAACGGCUCCCCAAGGCAACGAUCAUUAGGGGUUCUGAGAGGAAGGCCCCCCACACUGGUACUGAGACACGGACCAGACUCCUACGGGAGGCAGCAGUGAGGAAUAUUGGUCAAUGGACGAGAGUCUGAACCAGCCAAGUCGCGUGCAGGAAGAAUGUUACCCUAUGGAUUGUAAACUGUCUUUUGCGAAGGGGAAUAAAGUGCAUCACGUGUGAUGUUUUGUAUGUACUCUGCGAAUAAGGAUCGGCUAACUCCGUGCCAGCCGCCGC
rnacentral:rRNA from 1 species